UGAGGAAUUUUGCGCAAUGGGCGAAAGCCUGACGCAGCGACGCCGCGUGGAGGAAGACGGCCUUUGGGUUGUAAACUCCUGUCAGAGGUGAAGAACGCCCGCAAGGGCUUGACGGUAACCUCAGAGGAAGCCCCGGCUAACUACGUGCCAGCAGCCGCGGUAAUACGUAGGGGGCGAGCGUUGCUCGGAAUUACUGGGCGUAAAGGGAGUGCAGGCGGCCGGUUAAGUCGAAGAUGAAAUCCCGAGGCUCAACUUCAGAACGGUCUUCGAUACUGAUCGGCUUGAGGCUAAUUGAGGAGAGCGGAAUUCCCGGUGGAGCAGUGAAAUGCGUAGAUAUCGGGAGGAACACCAGAGGCGAAGGCGGCUCUCUAAACUAGUCCUGACGCUGAGACUCGAAAGCUAGGGGAGCAAACGG
rnacentral:rRNA from 1 species